UACGGAGGGUGCGAGCGUUGUCCGGAAUCAUUGGGCGUAAAGGGCGCGUAGGUGGCGGGACAAGCGUGCGGUGAAAGUCAGGGGCUCAACCCCUGAUCGGCCGUGCGAACUGGGGAGCUUGAGCACUGUAGAGGCAGGCGGAAUUCCGGGUGUAGCGGUGGAAUGCGUAGAGAUCCGGAAGAACACCGGUGGCGAAGGCGGCCUGCUGGGCAGUUUUGCUGACACUGAGGCGCGACAGCGUGGGGAGCAAACAGG
rnacentral:rRNA from 1 species